CAUCGCGCUGCCUGGCAGGGCUUCAGCUCACAGAGUUAACUUUACUCGAGAGAAAACUAUGCCAGAUUCUGGCCUUUGAAGAUUUCGGUUUUUCCCAACUGAAAUGAUUCUAUUAUUCCAUAUCCUACUGCUUCAACAAUUUUUGGCACCACAACUUCAGGACCCAAAUUAAUGAACUUUAGAAGAAAGAAAGUGAAGGCUAAAUAAAGCUGAGUUGUCAUGAGGUACAGGCUAAAGCCAGCUGACUGCUACAGUACAAGUGAGUGUGACACAAGUUUCGCCUGUGCAGAAGGGAGAAAAAGCAAUUUGUUUCUUUUCCAAGUUGCUGGAGAGUGGAAGUUUGUAUAUCAAUAGUCAUGAUGAAUUCAUCUUGUGCAAUUUGAAAUCAACCUGGUCCAAAAUGGUCCAGAAGACUGUUAAAAUCAAUGUAACUAUGGAGUGAAUAAUUAGAAUUCAAUCAACAGGGAAAGGUGCUGAUUC